rnacentral:lncRNA from 1 species
UCCGCCGCGCGCCCCCGCCCGUAGAACGCCGCUCCCUAUUGGCUGAGCCUGUGCGUCGCCAUGGAAACGGCGCAGACCCUCCCUGCUGGGGGGCGACGGGCACCCGGAAAGGCUCUGCCCCCCGUGGAGAUUUUCAUCAGAGAGCUUGGCUGGGCUGGAGCAUCAUCCAGGACACAUCCGAGAGCCUCCUGCAGGGAGCAUCAAGGGCUCGGGACUUCCAUGGAGAGAGCUGCUGGCCUCGCUCCUGGUGCUGUCACGAGGCCUGGGAGCUGCGCUUUCACCGCCAGGGUUUUGAUCAUUGUCUGUCCUUUCUGCUCUGUCUGAACAGAGAGAGAGAGAUUUGAAGUUAUUUCAUUUAAUAUUCAUAUCUUUCACCGCAUCAUUAAGCACCUCCCUCCUUUUCUUGGUUGUGUUUUGUUGUUUGUUUUUUUUGGGUUUUUUUGUGGGGGCUGAAGUGCAGAAUUCCUUUCUGGAAAACACUGUCUGAAAUCUCUAUUUUUUGUGCUUCCUCAGCAGCCAGGCCUGGUGUGCACAGGGAGCACAGGGGAAAGAGCAGCGUGCUCAUGGUGAGCUCCAUGGAAACGUGGAAGAGUCACCGGGAGGGACCAGGUGUCCAUGGGGACAUGGAGAUUCCUGAGGAGCUCAGCCUCAGCCUGGGGGUGGCCUGGCCACCAGGAAAAAGGCUCAAGAGGGGAAGAAGAGAAAGGAAAAAUUAGAAGAGAAAUUUACUUUUCCAAUGUGCAAGGUGGGAUCUCCUUGAGGGAGCCUGUGGGGAAAAGCUCCAAAGUCACAGAGGAUGGGGAAGUCUUUACUGUCCCCCAAUAAUGCAGGAAAGGGGGUCUGAAAAAAAAUCAGGAUACAAAUACUUGGAUAUAAAUACAACAGUCUUCACCCUCCUGUAAUUACAUUUUCUGUGCCUUGUCUCUUGAUUUAUGAGUAGGAUCCUUCUACUUCCACACUGCUCUUGUCCUGAAUCCCAUUCCCAGUCCUUCCAGCAGACAUGAGAGGAGUCAUCCCAUGUUGGGACACCACCUUCACUGUCACUAAAAUAGACUUUUUCUGUAAUGCAGCUUGUCCAGGCUGUCCAACAUAUCCAACAUCGUGUGAAACACUAGCUCAUGAUAAGUAGGAAACAUAAAAUGGUGUAGGAUGCAACUUAAAAAAUGUGUAGGAUACAGCUUAAAAAUGGAGUAGGAUGAUGUAAAAUUCUUCAGAGUUUUUGGUAGUUUAUUGUUCAAAGGAAAAAAAUCUUAGUAGUCCUGGAUAUUCAUUCAUUGAAACCUCUCCAUUUCUUCAGGGAAAUUCAAGCCUCAGUCUUAGGGUU